CAUCUGUUAUAAAUGAACAGACAGAAGCAAAUGGGGGGAGGUUGAAUGACUGAUAGAAUGAAGGCCCUCCUGAAAAGAAGGUAGGGUCUCCCCAAUAUAAAACUUAUAAGACAAAUAGAUCAACAAGAAGACAUAUGGGUAGGAAAACUGAUAUGAUAAUAGCAUGGUUUUCUAUGCAUUUUAGGGGUUCUGAGGGGAUAUGACACCCCAUCUCACUCCUCUUGAUAUUCUACCUGCACCUCAUGGUGGGGCUACAUCAGAGCCUGUUGAACCAUGGCGGGGUACACCCUGGACAGGUUGUCAAUCUGUCACAUCCAGACACUCACAUUAGGGACACUAGAAUGACCAAUUGACCCUACAAACCAUCAUUUUGGAGUGUUAACUGAACAUAUUCAGAAAGAUCCCAGCUGGGAUUUGAACCAUGGACUGUUUCCUGAUAGGUGAGAGCGCUAACUAGGGCUGGGUAUUGUCAACAAUUCGAUUAAACUCCAAUUUUUGUCUAUUCUUUCGAUCCACUCAAUUCAAUUUGAUACAAUUUUGAGUUGACACAGUUUACACAUUUGUUAGAAAUACAUUCAUCUAUUUACAUUUUUUUCAUAUUAAUAUAAUACAGUUCACAUACUUUAAAAUGUAUUAGUGAAAUUAUAAGAAGAUUGUUAAUACCAUACAGUGUUAUAUAGAUUCUCAAACGGAAAAGUUCCAACAAUUCUUCUGCCUCUCCUGGGAGGGCGUUUCAGUUUGGCCACUAGGUGGCGAUCGCGCUGUAGCAUUACAUCUUAUUCCAGAAGAACAAAGUAGGAGUGAAAAAACGGUGUUUCAGACCACAAAUGGUCACUUUAAAAAUAUUUCCUUAAAAGAGUUUGUAAAAUUCAUACCUAGCAUUACCCAUUCUCUUUACUGAAAGUCACCUGUCUCUGCUGAAGAGGUUCAGGGAGUCCCCGGGCAUCGAGGGGGGACACCAUGAGGCGAUAUCCAGUCACAUCACCUGUGGCCGGGCUCCAGGUAAGCCUGAGGGAGUUGUACGCCAGCUCGCUAACCUGCAGGUCUCUGGGACCUACCACACGCUCCUCACCUUCAACGCAAGCGAAGAUGCACAGAUGAGAGAUGUUAUGAUGGAUUAUCCCUGCAGGUUGGAGAGCGGUGACAGUGAAGAUGCAUGCACACGCAGACACGUGUGCCCAUCUCUGAACUACAAUGCACAGAUGUUUUGGUGCAACAGUUACUAACAACAGCUGCUAAACAGGCGAUUCUUUGCAUGGUGACCUUCCAAGGGUCAACAGAGGAGAAAAUAUCACAGAGACAACUCCAGUCGUCUUCACUCCUCUGACUUUUGAUCUCCAGAAAGCUUCAUAUGGAGGAUCCUGUCGGCGGAGAAAAUCUAAAGUGGAUUCAGUGGAAUGCAUCUUCCCCAUUUCCUGUUCGUCAAUGACACACACACAUAUAUAUGCUCGCAAGCAGAAACAAGUCUGCUGAAUGUCUGAUGAGAGCAGGUCACUGGAGCUCUGCAGCAACGCUCACCGGAAUGAAAAAUGGCCGAGGGGCAGGCUGCUACUAUAGAAGCUGCUUUGCUUUUUUGAGUAGUCACAAUAAAGUUUUACGCAUUGGAGAA